CAUGUGUUAUAACAUUGAGGGUGUUAUAACACAAUGCACGGUUCAAACGAUAAGCUUUCCGCGAGUCUUAUAAUCUUCAAAGAGUUGUUCACUUAACAUACAUGUUCAAUCAUGUACAGUCAUGGAUAUCAAUGUUUUAGCAUGAUAAAACUAUUACAAUGCGAAAGCACGAUCUCCAUAAUCACUUGCCAUGAUAUUGUUGUUGCAUUUUAUAGACAUGUCGAGCGUACGGACAGUGAAAGAACGCGAACCCUGGCAGUGGUACAAGAGAUGAAGAUCAAGAAGAAGAUAGAGGAAUGAGGAGGAGGCUGAUGAAAAGAAGAGGAUGCUGACGGAGAGACGAGGAAGAUGCUGACGGAGCUACGAGGAGGAUGCUGAUGG